AAAGGGUAAGCCGAAAACCUUAAAAAGAGUAGGCA
rnacentral:ncRNA from 1 species